UUGAGCUGUAUGAGGCGAAAGUCUCACGUACAGUUCUUAGGGGGGGAUGGGCCAGAAAUGGUCGGUCCCUACCCGAC
rnacentral:ncRNA from 1 species